rfam:Schistosoma margrebowiei strain Zambia genome assembly, scaffold: SMRZ_scaffold0001180
GCACAGCUGAGGAGUCCCAUACUAGGACGAAACGGCCGUUCAGUUC